UACGAAGGGGGCUAGCGUUGUUCGGAUUUACUGGGCGUAAAGCGCACGUAGGCGGAUUGUUAAGUCAGGGGUGAAAUCCCGGAGCUCAACUCCGGAACUGCCUUUGAUACUGGCAAUCUUGAGACUGGAAGAGGUUAGUGGAAUUCCCAGUGUAGAGGUGAAAUUCGUAGAUAUUGGGAAGAGCACCAGUGGCGAAGGCGGCUAACUGGUCCAGUACUGACGCUGAGGUGCGAAAGCGUGGGGAGCAAACAGG
rnacentral:rRNA from 1 species